UACCGGGGGGCUUUGGGGAGAAAAAGGAAAAAAUAAAAUCUUUAAAAAAAAAAAAAAGAAAGAAAAAAACAAGAAAUCAGGUGGAAUCUUUCGAUUGGGUCACGGUAGAAAAAUCUCAGCAAACAAGCCUGCCUUUCUGGGCCAAGUUCUCCAACAGAGAGAAAUAAAUAUCCCAUAACCAUUUAAUAAACAACCACUGAGACAAUUAGCAAACAUAACCUCCAGUAGCAUGGACUCUGGCCUCCCACAAAUUUCAGAAAUGUCGCUUUCAAUUCAUGUCAGGGUUUUAAAGUAGCACUUUCCCAAAUUGUAUGAGCAAAUUAGCAGUUUGGAAUACCACACUCAGCUUCGGCAAUCCUUGCCAACCUCAUCCUGCUCAGAGAAGGCCACGCUCAGGCUUUUCAGAGCAGAGAGUAACAUUGUUUCUUGCUGCCCUUUGGCCACUGUGGUACGGUUAGCUGAGGAGAGGCCUUGGCGAUGGCACUGCCAGAGACUGAUGAACAAGGAGAAGCUGAAUAUGGAGGGAAGGGAGAAAAAAGAGGAGACCAGGAAGGAUUGAAGCUGCCCUCUCUCCCUUAGCAUCUCAAGCCAUCUGCCUGCUCUGUCAAAAAAGGUGGCCUUGGGUGUGGCAGCUAAUGAAGCUUUCCUCUGCAGGGGUACCUCACAGAGCACAGAGACGCAAGAAUGUACAGCACCAGGAGUGAACCCUAAUGUAAACCAUGGACGUUGGGUGAUAACGAUGUGUCAGUGUAGGCUCAUCAGUUGUAACAAAUUUAGCGAAUGCCGAACCUGAACCUGACGUCUGUCUCCUGGAAACUUGUGCCCAUCAGUCCCAUAGUGACUCAGAGCACCUCCUCUUCCUCGUGACCGUCCUUCAGAUGUCUACAGAUCACAGGAACAUCCCCCUGAGUAUUUCCUCUGCUUCCAGCUAAGCUUUUAUAUUUCCUUGGACCAUUUUGGUUUUUUCAGCCACUUUAUCUUCCUCCGAACAAGAAGCUGCCUUGUUCUUAGAUGACCCAUCUCCAUGGCCAGAGUGGAUGGGUACAGAGGAGGUAUUGACGCAAGCUGUCCGAUCCGAUUUCUGCUCUCGGAUUUUUCAAACUGGCGCUGAAGUCAGUCAGAUCCUCUCUGGGUAGGAGCUGACGGAUGUGAGGUUUGGGAUGUGUUGACAGCCGUGUUUUCUGCCGUGUGUGGGAAGAACACCAUGUAAGAGAGACAAUGAAGGUGACCCUGAGAGGAGCAGAGAAAUGGAGGGGGAGGGACUGCCGGCAGCCUUCGGGCAUCUGGAUGCGGUUGCCCCGGAAGCCCAGCGCUAUCCCUGUCCUUCCGGUGGAUUGUCAUUCAAUCCUUUUUGUAUUCUGUGAACCAAUAAAGUCCCUUUGUCUAAACCAGUUUACAGUGGAUUUCUGAGACUUUCAAAUAAGAGAAUCAAACUGGCCACAUCUGAAAACCUAGAGCGUGGGCUUUGGAAUUCAAAAAGCCUCGGUUUGAAUCCUAUGUUCGCCACUUAUUACCUUUGUGAUCUUUAGGAAAUUUCCUAAGUACUCUGACCUCGUUUUCUUCACCUGUAAAAUGGGACCAGCAUUCGGUACGUUACCGCUUUGCUAUAAGGAAUAAGGAAGGAUCCUGCCUAUAAAGGCCACUUCUGCACCUGACACACAGUAGUCUCAUCCCAUUGGCAACAGCAAAGCAAAUUUUAUCUUUAUUACUACCGAGUUUCAGUUAAUUCAGGCAUUUACACAAGCUGUCACAAAAUUUGUUUCCUCACCCUGAACUGACUUUUUGAGCCUAAUUGCUGGAUUUUCAGAAUGUUUCUGCUCACUUUCCCCUUUGUUAAUUCCAGAAAAAUUGUUUAACAGAAAUGUUGAAGUUUUUCAAAGGACAGAUGCUCCUCUGUCCCCUAGGAAGCUUCUGACUUGUGUUGUUUUCAGAGUUUCAUGACCAGGGCAACAGAAGCAGUCAAUGUUUGAAGUCUUUCUCCUCUGCUGUGGGUAAAUUCUUGGGCCCUUUCCCAGAAAUGACUUUCCAGAAUAAUUGUUCUAGAAAGCUCCACGGAGACUGCCUGUCUGCUGAACUGUCACACGUUGGAGUUAAUUCACAGUUCCCGUCAUCUAUCCACAAUGAUAUGCAAAAAGCCCUUGGCUUGGAGAUAGAAGAUUCUAGGCUCAAUUUCCAGCUUUCGAAGUUUCCAGACUCCUCGGGUUACGAGUAAGUGUUCACUUGAGGUGUUGAAACAUUGGAUGGAAUGAUUCAUCUGCUUGUAAUUCAUUCAACACACAUUUAACAAACACACUUCCUGUCCCAGGUCCUGUAGGGGCUGGUGCAGGAGUUCUAAGAUGAACUCAGCUACUGACCUCAAACAGAUCAUGUUCUAAUGGAAGAGAGCAGUCACAUACAGCUGUCAUUUAACAGAUAUAAUAACAUUCCUUUGAAGCCAGUGAUGGCCAUGUGACUUUUUUUCUGGCCAAUGAAAACUAAGCAGAAGUCAGCUGAAGGGUGUUUCUGGAAAAUCUCUUGCUGUCAUGAUAAAAGGAAAAAGAUGCAGCAGCUAUGGCUCUUUGUCUUUUCUCCCUUCUUCCUGCUUUAUGUGAUGAUGUGAUGACUGGAACUAUGGCAGCCAUCCUGAGCAAUGAGGCAAGAAACAUAAGUAGAAGACAACAUUCCAUGGAUAGCACAGGAAAGACAGAAGGAGUCCAUGUCCCUGAUGGCAUCACUGAGCAGCCAAACCAUUGCCAUCAAUUUCUCACCUCUAGAUUUUUUGUGUGAGAAAAAUAAACCCCCCGUUUGUUGAAACUGUGUGUAUCAGAUAUUUGUGCACCACAUUGCAUCUCUAAACCUUUGAUUCCAGUCAUGUAUAUGUUUUGCAAACAUUUUCUCCCCAUCUGUGGCUUGUCUUUUGGUUUUCUUAACAAUAGUUUUCAAAGAGCAAAAGUUUAAAUUUUGAUGGAGUCCAUUGUAUCAAUCUUUUCCUUUUCAGGUUUGUGUUUUUUUAUGUUCUUUGCUUACCUAAGGUCACAAAAGUUUUCCUCCUGUUUUGUUUUUUUUUUUAGAAGAUUUAUCGUUUCAGCUCUUACACUUAGGCCUAUGAAUGCUUUUGAGUUAAUAUUUUAUAUGGCUUGAUAUAUGAGUGAAGGUUAUUUUUUUUUUGCCUUAUAGAUACCCAGUGGUUCCAUUUGUUGAAAAGUCUAUUCUUCCCCCAUUUUAAGUACCAUGGCAUCUUUGUCAAAAUCAAUUGACCAUGUUAGAAUGGGUCUAUUUCUGAAAUCUUUUGUUCCAUCGAUUUUUUUUAUUGUUGUUCCAUUGAUUUUUGUGUCUACCUUUGUGCUAGCAUCUUGCUGACUUUGGUAGCACUAUAGUGUAUUGUAAAUGGAGGUGAUUUUUUUUUUUUUUUUUGGUGAGGAAGAUUGGCCCUGAGCGAACAUCUAUUGACAAUCUUUCUCUUUUUACUUAAAGGAAGAUUGUCCCUGAGCUAACAUCUGUGCCAAUCUUCCUGUAUUUUGUAUGUGGGACAACCUCCACGGCAUGACUCCCUCUCUCAAUAAGCAGUGAGUGGGUCCGCACCCAGGAUCUGAACUGGUGAACCCCAUGCUGCCGAAGCAGAGUGUGCAAACUUAACCUCUAUGCCCCUGGCCAGCCCCUGGAGUUGAUUUUUAAAUUUUAGUUUCUAAUUGCUCAUAUCAGUAUAUAGAAAUGCAAUUAAUUUUUGUAUAUCGCCCUUGAAUCUUUCACUUUUGCUGGAAUCACUUAUAAUUCUACAGCUUUUUUCUUCUUUUGGUGUAUUCCUAGGAUUUGUCUGGGUACACAGUCAUGAUGUCUACAAAUAAAGUCAAUUUCUCCUUUA